UUGGCCAUGCCCUCAUCUCCCAGGACCCCAGAUGUGGAGCUGUCCUCCUCUGAGGCUCUGCCUCUGUCCUCAGGAAGCUGGGGCUAGGCCAGCUGUUUUCCCCGGGUAGCCAGCUGUUUUGCCCAUCAGGAAGCAGCUCUGCGAAAAUUGUUGCUGUGGCUGGGGCUGCAGCGUGGCAGCCCCACUGGGCCAGGGCCUGGGAGCUGUUAACUCCUCUGGGCCCAGCCAGCUCCUUCCUACAUCCACCACCCCAGCUCCCACCCCGCGGGAGUAGCCUGUUGCAAGACUUCCAGAGACCCCCCCAAGAAGGCCAAGCCUUGCUAUGCCCACCCCCGCAACAGCUGCUAACCUGACAUCCCCUCCUCUCAUCGGAGCCUUGUCCUCAGGUGACCCCAGGUGAGAGGAAGUUUCAAAGGGACAAAUUUGUUCAGAAUAAUAACACUAGUAAUAAGAAUAAUAAUAGCUAUCAUUAACUGCUGUGUGCCAGCCAUUGUGCUAAGGCAUUAUUUAGUUUAAUUGUCACCACAUCCCUGUGACGUCGGGAAUGUUUUCAUUUUACAGAUGAGGAAACUGAGGCAAUGGUCAGUGUAAGUUGCUUGCAGGAGCCCAAGCAGAAUUGGCAUUUGAAACUGGUCUGCCUGCCGCUAUCCGGCCAGUCCUGGUGGUUCUGGAAUCGCUGUUGCUGUUGCUAUUUAAGUUUCUCCCUGAGCUCCUUGCCUGCCGCACUCCCCCCGAACCCCACCAGGAAAGGAAGAGAAGGACAAUUAUCGAUGGCAAGUGGCAGGUGCAGAAGCAACACCAAACGCUGGUUUCACAUCCAGGAGAAAAGGCUGCCUCCUGCUUCUCUUGUGUUUUCUGGGGUUCCAGAAACUGGAGAAACUGAAACUGUCAAUGACAGAGGAUAGAAAUGACCCCUGGAAACAGUCUUUUCAUCACUUUUGAUCGCUUAAUACUCAGCAACCUCAUAAAACAGGUGCAUCAUUAACUCCUGUUUACAGCUGAUAGCUGAUGCUCAGAGAGGCUGAGCCACUUGUCCAGGGCCACACAGCUUUGAGUCUGUGGAGCUGAGACACCAGGCAGGACUGGCUCACUUCUGAUUACACCGCAGUGGGAAGGAGAGGGACAAUGAGGCAGCUGGACCCUGGGGAGUUCUGGGUGGGAGGGCCUCUCCUCCCAGGCCAGAAGGCUAUGAAUAAAUAAAUGUCUGAUUACCCCCAGGGGGGAUUCCA